UACGUAGGUGGCAAGCGUUAUCCGGAAUUAUUGGGCGUAAAGAGCGCGCAGGUGGUUAAUUAAGUCUGAUGUGAAAGCCCACGGCUUAACCGUGGAGGGUCAUUGGAAACUGGUUGACUUGAGUGCAGAAGAGGGAAGUGGAAUUCCAUGUGUAGCAGUGAAAUGCGUAGAGAUAUGGAGGAACACCAGUGGCGAAGGCGGCUUCCUGGUCUGCAACUGACACUGAGGCGCGAAAGCGUGGGGAGCAAACAGG
rnacentral:rRNA from 1 species